ACAUCCAUCUCGGUGGGCUCCGGAUCGGCGACUCUGUUCUGGUUUGACAGAUGGGCUGGAGAUUCCCCCUUCGCUACGCGCUUCCCCGACCUCUUCUCCAUCGCAGUAGAACCCCUGAUCUCGGUUGAGAGGGCCCUUAUUGACCUAGGGCGCCUUGCUUUUCGGAGGCCCUUUGGCCCUCCGGAAUCUGCCGCCUAGCGUGCGUUGCUGGACUACGUUGCUCUUCACGAACCGGUGGUUGAUAGUGACCUUGACCGGGUGAGAUGGCGCCUCGAACCUUCGGGGCAAUUCUCCACCAGGUCUCUAUACCAAGCCAUCGCUCCCUCCUCCGCCUCCCCCCUUGUGACGGUGUGGUCCAUCCGCCUGCCCCUGAAAAUCCAGAUCUUCAUGUGGCAGUGGAUUCGCAGUCGACUCCCGUCUGGCAUUGAGGUCUGCAAGCGCAAUGGCCCGGGAUCCGGCCUCUGCCCUCUUUGCGGCAUUCCCGAGGACUCGAAUCACAUCUUCUUCUCCCGCGUCUCCGUGCGAUUCGUUUGGAGUUGUUUCCGUGACGUGGUGGGCGGAAAUUGGUGUCACACCAACUUCCCCGACUUAUUUGACGAGCUCCAGUCCUCCCCCUUGUCUUCUCGCCACAUUAGGUGGCUUGAGAUCGGUGUCCUCGCUUGGACCCUAUGGACGAUCUGCAAUAAGCUUGUGAUCCAGCGCGUUCCUCUUCGAUGA
rnacentral:rRNA from 1 species